rnacentral:lncRNA from 1 species
GGCGGGCUUUAGUUUUUUAGUAUAGAACUCAAUGGUCUGUGUGCGAUGGUAAAUAUCACCCCCGGAUAUGUUGUUCCCACUCUGUCUCUCUCUUCAUGAGGAAACUAUACAGACAUAGGUCUAAUGUUAUCUCCAUUUUACAGAUGGGAAAACUGAGUCAUGGGGACAGGCUGCAGAUUUGAAGAAAGUCUCAAGACAACCAGGUCUCUCUUCUCUGCUCUAGGUUCAAUUUGGCCAAUUGACCUUUAAAUGUGAGCUCUUGGCAACCUGGUCUAGUGGCUGAGGCAGGGGGUAAGCUGUAGUCAAAAGUCCUCUUCCCUAACCCUGGCAACAUAGACACUCAUCUCUACCAAAAAAAAUUUUUAAAUUAGCCAGGCAAGGUGGUACACCUGUAGUGCAAGCUAUUAAUACUUGGGAGGCUGAGGCGGAAGGAGUCCUUGAGCCCAGGAGUUCAGGGCUGCAAUGUACCAUGAUCACACCACUACACUCCAGCCUGGACAUCAGAAGAAAAAAACUCCUUCCCUGUUCUGAGUUGCUCAUAGCCAUGGUCCCUAGAACAUUAACUGGAUAAUGUGGAGAGUGUGUCUUGAGAGCCUUUGUUAUAGGUGAGAUACCCCCACGGAAGCUAGGGUAUUUUGCAGGGUAUUGUUGGAAGGUAGUCCUGCAAAGUUAGUUAUCCUGCCUAGAAAAAAAGAAAAACCCGGCCGGGCGCAGUGGCUCACACCUGUAAUCCCAACACUUUGGGAGGCCGAGGCGGGCGGAUCACCUGAGGUCAGAAGUUCGAGACCAGCCUGACCAACAUGGAGAAACUCCAUCUCUACUAAAAAUACACAAAAAAUUAGCUGGGCGUGGUGGCGCAUCCCUAUGAUCCCAGCUACUCGGGAGGCUGAGGCAGGAGAAUCGCGUGAGCCUGGGAGGCGGAGGUUGUGGUGAGCCAAGAUCGCACCAUUGCACUCCAGCCUGGGCAACAAGAGUGAAACUCCUUUGCAAAUAAAUAAAUAAGUAAAUGAAAAACCUGUGUUUUACAGGUUCAACAAAUCAACAUCUAUUUUUUAACUGCCAAGGCUAUGAAACCAUUUAGGUUUUAUUGCUAGUUGGUUAGAGUGCCCUCCUGUGUCUCCACAUUAAAAUAACAUGCGAGAAUUUUCAAAGGACAUCAUGAAAUUAUAAUUGUAGCAUUAGAAUGUAUGAUGUCAACUGUUCUGCUUCAUCCUUCCCAAGAACAAGGAGAUCUGAAGAGCCUCUCGCCUGGAGGAGUUCCAGCUGAGGAGUCUUGAUGGAACUUCUGCUGUGUUGCAGUCAAAAUUUCAAGGUCUCAGACAACACAAGGAAAGGGUUCCAUCCUUAUGUGGCAGCCCAGCAUCUAAAGACCCUUCCAAUGUUAAAGGAAUAAAUCUUCUGCUUAUGAUAAGACCCAACUCUCCACUAAAAAAAAGCUCAAAAGCAAUUGCUCACCUUCCCAGCCCCAGCCUCUCUUGCAGCUAGAGUCCCCGAUUCAAACUCAGUCAACUGAACUCUGAACUGGAAACUAAUGAGGCUGGAAGCACAUACCCACGCCACUCUGCCAAUGGACAGCCAGCUCUGGUUCUCUGGGGCAGCAGUGGAGUCACCCCCAGACUAGUCUGCAGUGGGAUUUGGGACAUUGCUGUCUGCCUGAGUAUAUCCUCCAAGCCUGGUUCUUCUGCCCUGCAGAUUCCAGUUGUUACCCAAUAUUCUCUUAAUGAGGUCCUCUUUUACAUACAUUAUCCAGAGACUGUUUAUAUUCUUACAACCAAGAAAAUGACUUAAUUGCCAGAAGCUUAUUGAGCAGCUGCUAGGGAGGAAACACUGGCCUGGAGACCAUGCCUGUGCUCUCACAGACACAAUACAGAAAGUUACAAGUGCCAGAAGGCUGGCUGGUAUGUAGGAGUUCCCAGAUAUCUGGACCAAUGCUGUCCAACAGAAAUAUAUAAUACAAACCGCAUGUCUUGGUCAGUUUGGGCUGCCAGAACAGUAUACCAUAGACUUAGUGGCUUUAAACAGAAAUUUAUUUUCUCAUAGUUCUGGAGACUAGAAGUCCAAGAUCAGGGUACCAGCAUAGUCGGUUUCUGGUGAGGGCCCUCUUUCUGGCUUAUAGAUGGCUGCCUUCUCACUGUGUCCUCACAUGGCAGAGAGAGAGAGAGGAGAGAGAGAGAGAGAGAGAGAGAGAGAGAGAAAGAACACGCUGAUGUCUCUUCCAAUAACAACUCUAAUCCCAUCAUGGUGCCUCACCUCAUAACCUCAUCUAAACCAAAUGAUCUCCCACAGGCCCCAUCUCCAAAUACAUCAUAGGGAGUUAGGGCUUCAACAUAGGAAUUUGAGGGGGUCCCAAUUCAGUCCAUAGCGGCACAUGUAUAAUUUUAUGUUUCCUAGUGGUCCUAUUAUAAAGGUAAAAAGAAACACAUGAAAUUAAAAUUAAGUGGCUGGGUGUGGUGGCUCACGCCUGUAAUCCUGGCACUUUGGGAGGCCAAAGUGGAAGGAUGGCUUGAGGCUAGGCAUUUGAGACCAGCCAGGGCAACAUAAGGAGACCUCAUCUCUACCCAAAUAAAUAAGUAAAAACAUUUUUAAAAAGAAAUUAAUAUUAAUAAUAUAUUUUACUUAACCCAACAUGUCCAAAAUAUUAUUUCAACAUGUUGCCAAUAUAAAAAAAUUAUUGAGAUAUUUUACAUUUUUGUUUUGAAAUCCAGUGUGUAUUUUACACUUACAGCACAUGUCAGUUCGGACUAGCCAUAUUCAAGGGCUCAAUAGCCACAUGUAGCUGGUUGCUACCAUAUUGGACAGCAUAGAUCUACAAUGUUAAAACUAAAAUAAACCUUAGAGAUCAUUUAGUACAACCAUCUCACUUUACAGAUAAUGAUCCCAAGACCCAGCCACAUUCACUGACUUGCUCAAGGUCACACAGUUGGUAAAAAGUCAGGGAUGGAACACAAUGUUGGGUUACUAAUUCCAUUUCUUUCUUUUUUUUUUUUUUUUUGAGACAGCGUCUCACUCUGUCACUCAGACUGGAGUGCAGAGACAAAAUUAUGGCUCACUGCAGCCUCAAAUUCCUGAGCUCAAGUGAUCUUCCCACCUCAGCCUCCCAAGCUACUAGACUACAAGUGCCUGCCACCAUGCCCAGCUAUUUAUUUAUUUAUUUAUUUAUUUAUUUAUUUAUUGAGAUGAAGUCUUGCUCUGUCCCCCAGGCUAGAGUACAGUGGUGUGAUCUCAGCUCACUGCAACCUCCACCUCCAGGGUUCAAGCAAGUCUCCUGCCUCAGCCUCCCAAGUAGCUGGGAUUACAGGUACGCACCACCACACCAAGCUAAUUUUUGUAUUUUUAGUAGAGGUGGGGUUUCACUGUGUUAGCCAGACUAGUGUUGAACUCCUGACCUCAGGUGAUCCACCUGCCUCGGCCUCUCAAAGAGUUGGAAUUACAGGCGUGAGCCACCAUGCCUGACCUUAUUUUCUUUUAUGUUUUUGUAGAGACAGGGUCUCGCUAUGUUGCUCAGGCUGGUCUCAAACUCCUGGGCAAACGAUCCUCCUGACUGGGCCUCCCAAAGCACUGAGAUUACAGGUGUAAGCCAUGGCACCCAGCCUCUAAUUCCAAGAUCGGUGCUUUUCCCAUGGCCUCUCCCCAUUCAAAUACAGAAAAGAUGAUGAAGGACUGAGAGGACCAGACUUAGUAGAAGACCUGAAAAAAAAAACAUACCAUUGCCUGAAAAAACUAAUACAAACAUGACCCCUUCAAAUACUCACUGAAUACCUACCACAUUUCUGGCAUUGUUCUAGGUGCUGUAGAAAACUCAAAAAGAAAUGACAAAUAUAAAUGAAUGCACAGUUUACUCAACUCUGAAUUCCAAGUGCAGAGAAGAGAAAAAGUAUUAAGUGAAGCAAAUUGAUAGGACAGACCAUUAGAGGCAGGUAAGACUUGGGAAGACCUUAAAGGAAGAAAAGCUCUUACUUUUUGGCUCUUGGCUAGCACUUGGAUCCUCCUGAGUUAUUUGCUGCCUACAAAGUUUAGAAAGGGAAUGCCAAGCUUCCACCAGGCGGCAUCUCUAUGCUUCCCUGGUCUCAUGGAUAACAUGUAGCCUUGGCUAUCCCCUCAAUAAGUUGAGAGGCCUGAAACCUCCAACUGCUUAAGGGUUUUUCAGGGGGUUUUCUGGGUGUUUGUUUUUUUUUUUUUUUGAGACAGCAUCUCGUUCUGUCUCCCAGGCUGGAGUGCAGUGGUUUGACCAUAGCUCACUGCAGCCUUGAACUUCUGAGCUCAAACAUUCCUCCCACCUCAGCUUCCCAAGUAGCUGGAACCAUAGGUGUAUGCUGCCACACCCAGCUAAUUUUUCUUUUUGGUUUUUUAUAGAGACAGAGUCUCACUAUGUUGUCCAGUCUGGUCUUGAACUCCUGGCCUCAAGCCAUCCUCCUGCCUCAGCCUCCCCAGUAUCUGAGACUACAAGCAUAAGCCACCGUAACUGGCUCUUGCUUAAGUUUAUAUUAGCAGCAAGACUUCCUUUAAGUGUAGUCAAGUAGAGCAGCAUUUCCCAAUGUGUGGCCCUAGGACCUUGUUAGGUAUUACAUGGAAUAAAAAUGGGAACGCUGAGUUAAACAAGCAAGAACGGGCUCUUUCACUGCAGAACUUCUCAGGACUUUUAAUAUGUUUUAUGCCAUCAGUGGCUCAGCUUCAAGGUCAACAUCCUUAACAUGCUUACACCGCCUUCCAUGGACUGGCCCAGAUGGAAUCUCACUCUGUUGCCCAGGCUGGAGUGCAAUGACGCGAUCUUGGUUCACUGCAACCUCCAUCUCCCAAGUUCAAGUGAUUCUCCUGCCUCAGCCUCUCAAGUAGCUGGGAUUACAGGUGUGCACCGCCAUGCCCAGCUAAUUUUUGUAUUUUUAGUAGAGACAGGGUUUUACCAUGUUGGUCAGGCUAAUCUCGAACUCCUGACCUCGUGAUCUGCUCACCUUGACCUCCCAAAGUGCCGGGAUUACAGGCAUGAGCCACCACACCCAGCCAGGACCCCUACUUUCUAUAUUUCUUACUUCUAUAUUUCAGUCCUUGUGGACAAACCAUAACCUAACUUAGUAGGUAGACAAGAUCGAAUGUUGUGGGAAGUCAGGAACCCUGAACAGAGGGACCAGCUGAAGCCACGGCAGAAGAACAUAAAUUGUGAAGAUUUCAUGGACAUUUAUUACUUCCCCAAAUUAAUACUUUUAUAAUUUCUUAUGCCUGUCUUUACUGCAAUCUCUGAACAUAAAUUGUGAAGAUUUCAUGUACACUUAGCACUUCCCCAAUCAAUACCCUUGUGAUUUCCUAUGCCUGUCUUUAUUUUAAUCUCUUAAUCCUGUAAUCUUCGUAAGCUGAGGAGGAUGUAUGUCACCUCAGGACCCUGUGAUGAUUGCAUUAACUGCACAAAUUGUUUGUAGAGCAUGUGUGUUUGAACAAUAUGAAAUCUGGGCACCUUGAAAAAAGAACAGGAUAACAGCAGUGUUCAGGGAACAAGAGAGAUAACCUUCAACCCUGACUGCCGGUGAGCUGGGUGGAACAGAGCCAUAUUUCUCUUCUUUCAAAAGCAAAUGGGAGAAAUAUCGCUUAAUUCUUUUCCUCAGCAAGGAACAUCCCUGAGAAAGAGAAUGCGUCCCUGAGGGUCGGUCUCUGAAAUGGCUGCUUUAGGGGUGGCUUCUUUUACGGUUGCAGCUGUAGGGAUGAAAUAAGCCCCAGUCUCCCUUAGCGCUCCCAGGCUUAUUAGGACAAGGAAAUUCCCACCUAAUAAAAUUUUGGUCAGACCGGUUCUCUGCUCUCAAACCCUGUCUCCUGAUAAGAUGUUAUCAAUGACAAUGCCUGCCCGAAACUUCAUUAGCAAUUUUAAUUUUGCCCUGGUCCUGUGGUCCUGUGAUCUCGCCCUGCCUCCAUUUACCUUGUGAUAUCUUAUUACCUUGUGAAGCAUGUGAUCUCUGUGACCUACACCCUAUUCGUACACUCCCUCCCCUUUUGAAAAUCGCUAAUAAAAACUCACUGGUUUUAUGGCUCAGGGGGCAUCAUGGAACCUGCCAACAUCUGAUGUCUCCCCCAGACACCCAGCUUUAACAUUUUUCUCUUUUGUACUCUUUCCCUUUAUUUCUCAGACCGGCUGACACUUAGGGAAAAUAAAAAAGAACCUACGUGACUAUCGGGAGCAGGCUCCCACAAUAUUUGAAAACCUAAUUUAGGAGUAUGUGCCUAUAACAAUAGCUGAGUCUUGGCCAAUCCCAGCAGCCACACUUCAACCACUCAUAGGCUGCUGAGUGUUCAAACUGUUCAAAUAAGGCAAACACCAACCUGUAACUAAUCCAGUUGUUUCUGUACCUCCCUUCUGAUUUCUGUACGUCACUUUCCUUUUUUUGCCUGUAAAUUUGUUCUGACCAUGAGGCAUCCCUAGAGCCUCUCUGAAUCUGCUGUGAUUCUGAGGGCUGCCUGAU